rnacentral:misc_RNA from 1 species
UCCUGGUUUCCCAGGCAGUCCCAUCAGAGUGCCUUACCCGAAGGUAAGUUGCAACUGAUAGUAGGGGUUGCGCUCGUUAAAGGACUUAACCCAACAUCUCACGACACGAGCUGACGGCAGCCAUGCAGCACCUGUGUACCUGUCUGAAACAAGUUCAGAAAACUGUAUUUCUACAGCGGGCAAGUACAUGUCAAGCCCAGGUAAGGUUCCUCGCGUACCGUCGAAUUAAACCACAUGUUCCACCGCUUGUGCGGACCCCCGUCAAUUCCUUUAAGUUUAAGUCUUGCGACCGUACUCCCCAGGCGAAUCACUUAUCGCGUUAGCUUCGACACCAAUCGAGCAAAGCUCAACUGACGUCUAGUGAUUAUCGUUUACGGCGUGGACUAC